rnacentral:lncRNA from 1 species
CCAGCCUGGUACCUGACACAAGGUAGGCCACACAGUACAGAAUACAGUAUAGAUAAAUAAAUCUGUGAUAUGAGUUGGCACCAUUUGUGUACGCACACACUUACACACACAUGCAUGUGCACACUCACAGUCACCACAGCACAGCAUGGAGUGGUGUCAAGCUCUCAAGCGCCUAGGUUCAAAUCCCUCUUUUGCCCUAGCCAGCCCUUAGAUAAGUUUCUUUUCUUUUCCUUUUUUUAAAUUUAUUUAUUCAUGAGAGACACACACACAGAGAGAGGCAGAGACACAGGCAGAGAGAGAAGCAGGCUCCAUGCAGGGAGCCCCAUGUGGGACUCGAUCCUAGGACUCCAGGAUCAUGCCCUGGGCUGAAGGCAGAUGCUCAACCGCUGAGCCACCCAGCCGUCCCUUAGAUAAGUUUCUUGCCAAAUUUUAGGGCUAGAGUAUUGCUUCAGUUGGCCAAGAUCUCAGCAUCACGACAUUAUACCACGAUUGUGUGCUGUCUGAUGUGUACAUGGCACGUACUGAUGGCUACAUAAACGUUAACUGUCGUUGGUAUACGAUGAUCACAGAUACAGACUGUUCCAGCCCCAAAUACACACUGAGCGUCCAUGGGCCAGGUACCAUCCAGGGACACUGAGGCAGCAGUCCCCUCCCCGCCCUUCACAGUGCCCAUGGCCUCCUGUGUGAUGAUUUAAACAGCAGUGCGAGAGAGGAACAAGCAGUUGAGACAACACGGCUAAGCUGUCCUAGGCUGCCAGGGCCUCGCCGUCGCGUGAGUGAUCACAGACCAGUGCAGGGGAUGCAGGGGGAGAUGGCUGAGGGCUCACAGGGGCCUCUCCGAGGAAGACAGGUGGCAGGGGACUCAUAUUCAUCUACUCAUCCCCUCACUCAUCCCCAAACUUCUAUCGCUCCUGGUACCAAGCACAGGGGGUCCCAAUGAUGAUCGGACCAUCACACAGAGCAGAGGAGCAGCACCAGGGGGGCAGACCCUGCACGUGAGCCUGGCCAGCCAUGACUCCUGGGGCCUUGUCCAGGACAUGGGGAUCGAAUUCUUUGCCACGGAGCAUGUGUGCUGGGCAAGGACACCAAGUACAGAGAUGCAGCAUUGCUGCCAUUUCUACCGGUGCAGACACACCCCCGCCUGGCAGUGAGGUCCUGGGGACAGGCUGACUGGGUCACCCACGAGCCAGGGACUUUCAACAUGUUCUCUUGUCUGGAGCCGAUGAGCCUGUGGUCUCUCCCGUGGCGCUGACUCUAGACCAUCCUCCUGGCCACUGCAUCAGCAGACCUGCCACCUGCCUGCUCCCCACAGGUCACCGCCCUGCCCAGGGGCCUCCCCACUACCAUCCCACCUGGCUCGGGAACCUGGGGACCUCACCUGUGGGUUACUACUCUCAUUACCAGCCUCGCUUGAGGCAGACUCUCACUAGAGGAGCUGAGGCCAUGGGGAGGAGGAGAGGAUAGGGGGUAGAGAGCAGAGGGGGGACUGGAUGGGCUGGAUGGGCUCUCAAACAGACAGGUGGCAGCAACAGGCAUGGAAAAGCACCUAGCGUUGGUGUCCUCACACCUGAGCAUUUCCACCCAUUCACCUGGGCACCUGGCCCAUUUUCUUGGCCUCCGUGAGCCUCGUUUCCACCCCUAUCACCCCUAUCAGUGCUUGUGCAUGGGUCUCAACCCCACCCGACCAGCCCAUCUGGUGCAGCACACAUUUUACACCUUUCCUUUAAUAAUCUGAAGUGAAAAUCACAGCUGACCAAAGCACGCCCACCAAGUAAAAAAACCAGUACUGGGGCAGCCCAGGUGGCUCAGUGGUUUAGCACCGCCUUCGGCCCAGGGUGUGAUCCUGGGGACCCAGGAUCGAGUCCCGCGUCGGGCUCCCUGCAUGAAGCCUGCUUCUCCCUCUGCCUGUGUCUCUGCCUCUCUCUGUGUGUCUUCCAUGAAUAAAUAAAAAAAAAAUCUUUAAAGAAAACAAACAAAAAGAAAAACCCAGUACUGUGCCCUCUGUAUCAUAAAGAAGAAAUCAAAGAAAAUCACUUAUGACCAAAAUAAUCCAGGUUUUAAGACAUCAGUGUAGCAUGUCAGUGCCUAAUAUGACCCUGCUGUGGGAUAAGGCAAAGAAGCGACAUCCACAUCUACACCUGGCCACAACAGAUGCUGUCAGGAAUGGGCAGGCGUUUAGUGGAGGCUCUGACGCCAUUCAGGGCGUGCCAAGGUGAUGUGAUUUUUCUGAGAUCAUGAACAGCUCUCAGUUGAGAUCAACACUAAAGGGGACACCUGGGUGGCUCCGUGGUUGAGCGUCUGCCUUUGGCUAGGGUCAGGAUUGAGUCCCACAUCAGGCUCCUUGCAGGGAGCCUGCUUCUCCCUCUGCCUGUGUCUCUGCCUCUCUCUGUGUCUCUCAUGAACAGAUAGGUGAAAUCUUUUAAAAAACAAACAAACGAACAACUUCUCAUAACUUAGAGACCAGCUGUGCUCCUGGGAGUGUCAGCACUUAGGUGGAAAUCAGGGUCCAGGCUCAGAGGAUUAAGGGCAGCAUCUCCUUCCACGAAGGUCUGACGGGGACAUUCAAGAGUCACGAGGUGCACAUGAUAAUUCUCCACCCUGGAGACUGUCCCACACAUUGCUGUACAGCAUGUCCACCCCCAUGACUGCCGGUCACCCCAAGCCCCCGGACAGGCAAACACCCCAGCCAGCACCUCCAGCAGGGAACACGCAGGGACAAGUCUCGCCCCUGCACCAGGAGUCAGGUAAUGGAAGCCGAUGGCCACCCAAAGGCCUCUGUUCUCCCCAGAGCCCUGGGAACAGGAAGAGGUUGGUGGGGGAUGAAGUCAGAGGUGGAGAGACAGGUGAGCAGGCUGUUAGAAUAACUCAGGUGAGAAAUAAAGGAGUCUUGAUUGCAAGUAGUGCCAGGCAACAGAGAGCCACAGGGAAGGCUCCCACUGCAGGCAGUGGUGGGGGUAUGUUAAGGACCCAUAAGCCAGUGGUGAGUGGUUAAGGGGGUGAGAGAGAGCAGGGCGGGGGGCUGAUGACUC